rnacentral:rRNA from 1 species
ACACAUGCAAGUCGAACGGCAGCACGGGUGCUUGCACCUGGUGGCGAGUGGCGAACGGGUGAGUAAUAUAUCGGAACGUGCCCUAGAGUGGGGGAUAACGUAGCGAAAGUUACGCUAAUACCGCAUACGAUCUACGGAUGAAAGUGGGGGAUCGCAAGACCUCAUGCUCCUGGAGCGGCCGAUAUCUGAUUAGCUAGUUGGUGGGGUAAAAGCCUACCAAGGCUACGAUCAGUAGCUGGUCUGAGAGGACGACCAGCCACACUGGGACUGAGACACGGCCCAGACUCCUACGGGAGGCAGCAGUGGGGAAUUUUGGACAAUGGGGGAAACCCUGAUCCAGCAAUGCCGCGUGUGUGAAGAAGGCCUUCGGGUUGUAAAGCACUUUUGUCAGGAACGAAACGGUGGGGGCUAAUACCUCCUGCUAAUGACGGUACCUGAAGAAUAAGCACCGGCUAACUACGUGCCAGCAGCCGCGGUAAUACGUAGGGUGCGAGCGUUAAUCGGAAUUACUGGGCGCAAAGCGUGCGCAGGCGGUUGUGCAAGACAGAUGUGAAAUCCCCGGGCUUAACCUGGGAAUUGCAUUUGUGACUGCACGGCUAGAGUGUGUCAGAGGGGGGUAGAAUUCCACGUGUAGCAGUGAAAUGCGUAGAUAUGUGGAGGAAUACCGAUGGCGAAGGCAGCCCCCUGGGAUAACACUGACGCUCAUGCACGAAAGCGUGGGGAGCAAACAGGAUUAGAUACCCUGGUAGUCCACGCCCUAAACGAUGUCUACUAGUUGUCGGGUCUUAAUUGACUUGGUAACGCAGCUAACGCGUGAAGUAGACCGCCUGGGGAGUACGGUCGCAAGAUUAAAACUCAAAGGAAUUGACGG